rnacentral:pre_miRNA from 1 species
AAUAUACUCCCUCUGUUCCGAAUUAUUUGUCUUAGAUUUGUCUAGAUACGGAGGUAUCUAGCACUAAAAUGAGUCUAGAUACAUUCGUAUCUAGACAAAUCAAAGACAAGUAAUUCGGAACGGAGGGAGUAGAUC